rnacentral:rRNA from 1 species
UACGUAGGGGGUAAGCGUUAUCCGGAUUUACUGGGUGUAAAGGGAGCGUAGACGGCAGAGCAAGUCUGAAGUGAAAGCCCGCGGCCCAACUGCGGGACUGCUUUGGAAACUGCCCGGCUAGAGUGCUGGAGGGGUAAGCGGAAUUCCUAGUGUAGCGGUGAAAUGCGUAGAUAUUAGGAGGAACGCCAGUGGCGAAGGCGGCUUACUGGACAGUAACUGACGUUGAGGCUCGAAAGCGUGGGGAGCAAACAGG